rnacentral:rRNA from 1 species
CACGUAGUUAGCCGGUGCUUAUUCUUCAGGUACCGUCAUUAGGAAUGGAUAUUAGCCACUCCCGUUUCUUCCCUGACAAAAGAGCUUUACAACCCGAAGGCCUUCUUCACUCACGCGGCAUUGCUGGAUCAGGCUUGCGCCCAUUAUCCAAAAUUCCCCACUGCUGCCUCCCGUAGGAGUCUGGACCGUGUCUCAGUUCCAGUGUGGCUGGUCGUCCUCUCAGACCAGCUACUGAUCGUCGCCUUGGUGAGCCUUUACCUCACCAACUAGCUAAUCAGAUGUCGGCCGCUCCAGGAGCACAAGGUCCGAAGAUCCCCUGCUUUCAUCCUUAGAUCGUAUGCGGUAUUAGCGUAACUUUCGCUACGUUAUCCCCACUCUUGGGCUCGUACAUAUACUC